rnacentral:rRNA from 1 species
GUCCACGCCGUAACGAUGGACGCUAGUCGUCGCGGGUAUUGACCCCGCGGCAACGAAGUUAACGCGUUAAGCGUCCCGCCUGGGAGUACGGCCGCAAGGCUAAACUCAAAGGAAUUGACGGGGCCCGCACAAGCGGUGGAGCAUGUGGUUCAAUUCGACGCAACGCGCAGAACCUUACCUGGGUUAAAUCCACUAGAAGUCCGUAGAGAUAUAGAUGUGCCCCGCAAGGGAGCUAGUGAGAAGGUGCUGCAUGGCUGUCGU